rnacentral:rRNA from 1 species
CACGUAGGCGGAUUAGUCAGUCAGAGGUGAAAUCCCAGGGCUCAACCCUGGAACUGCCUUUGAUACUGCUAGUCUUGAGUUCGAGAGAGGUGAGUGGAAUUCUGAGUGUAGAGGUGAAAUUCGUAGAUAUUCGGAGGAACACCAGUGGCGAAGGCGGCUCACUGGCUCGAUACUGACGCUGAGGUGCGAAAGUGUGGGGAGCAAACA